CUGGUUACUAACUGGUUCUCAUUUUGCAGAAAUAGGUUUGAGACGAAGUCCUCGAAUCAAGCAGUUAUCAUUUAGCAGAAAACAUUCUGGUUCCUUCUAUUCUGUGUCUCAGCCAAAGUCUCGAAGUGUGCAGAGAGUCCAUUCAUUGCAGCAGAACAAGUCAGACCAACGAGAAAAUUCUCCAAUACAAAGUAUUCGGUCUCCCAAGAGUCUUCUUUUUGGGGCAGUGUCUGAGGUGGUCAGCCCCUCAGAGAAGAGUUCGGCCCAAAUUAAAAGACUGUCAAGAAGCAAGCUGAGCUCUGAGACACCUCCAGCUUUCCAGACUCCUAAGAAGACUUGUCAGAAAUCUCCGAGCUUUCCUAAGACAACACCAAGAAGGUUCCCAAGAACACCACAGAUCCCACCCUGUACUCCAGAAAGGCCUCUGCACCCCACUGUGGACGUGACCCCUGCGGAGCCUGCCAUGGCUGGGAAGGCCCCACAGGACGCCUCCUCACCCAACUGCUGCUCACCAUCGGCAUCAAGAGCCACACCACAGGAAGGACCCUCCCCAGAAGAAGCGGCCUCUCCUCUUGUCACAGGGACCCCGAGAACACCCACCGGGCCGGAUGCUCAACCACCUGGCUUCUUGCUGAACUGUGCUUGGCCACGUGUGGUGAAUUCCAGUCCGGACAGUCCCUACCACACAGCAUCCCCAGCUCCCUCGGCUGCCCAGCCCUGGAGUGAGUGUGUGACCCCCAUCAGGCACUGCCUCAGGACACCGCCAAGGGCAGCAGCCCUCCUGGGCCCAUCUCAGGGGCCAAAGUGCCAGCAGCUCCUUCUCCCUGGAGGCUCUCAGGCAGAAGAACCAUCACAGACACUAAUGGAUGAAGUGGUCCGAACCUCCAGGGGACCUGGGGACAUAACUGUGACUUCCUCCCCACCGGCUGCUCCAGAGAGGUGGGAUGUCUCUAAGAGCCCACUAAGGAAGCCCUCAACAGUGUCCCCUGGCCCCAGAGACCUGGAUCAGAAAGAUCAGGCGUCACCGAGCAGGGCCACAUGUCCCUCUUGUGCUGGUCCCUCAACUCCCCCCACAGUACCACAGAGUGUCCUGUCUGUCACCAUUCCCCCUCCACCGCCAUCUAAACUUGGGAGACGGUAUAGAAAGACCUCAGACCCCAAACAAGGCUCUGAGGAGUGCCCACCUGGACCCUCUGCUGCACUCGGGGUUGCCACAGCCACCGGGCCAGCUGCUACCACCAGUUCUAGAAGGGACCAGAAGGGAGGGAGACUUUCUCCACCUUCCUCCCCUGAAGGACAGAGACACCUAAGCCCUGGUGUCGACAAUGACUGGCUCAGAUCCUCCCCUCUGCUUCUUUCGAGUGACACAGGCCACCUCACUCUUCUCGAGGAAGCCGAACCCCAGGGUGGUGGUAGCCGUGCAGUGACAGGGGGUGAAGGUGUGACACUGAGGUCAGCAGAGGACGAUGAUGCAUGGGAGCCACGCAGCAUGCCUGAUGCCAGGACUUCGCCCCCUGCUCCUGGCUCUGGGCCUGAGUCUCCCGAGAUGGUGUCCUACACCCUGCACUGCCCUCCAGACAGAUGGCAGUGCCCGGGUGCGGCAGGACCAGAGAGCCUGAGAGCUCCCGUGAGGCCUCCGAAGGCGCCCGCCAGCCUACAGACCUAUGAGGUAGAGCUGGAGAUGCAGGCCUCUGGCCUGCCCAAGCUUCGGAUUAAGAAGGUAGACUCUAGUGCACUGGCUGAAGCCGAGGCCCCAGGAAAGGGGAGUCCUGUAGGAGAGGAGGCCUCCCUCCCUGCUCUCGGCAUGCCCAGGGCCAGCAGGGCCACCAGCAAGCCCGAGGCUACCUACACAUCACCGUCUUGUCUCCGCUCCUCACACAGCACACCUGGCAAGGGACAGACCUACAUCUGCCAGACCUACACUCCAACCCCCUGCCCACCCAGUACCCCCUCUCCGUUUCAGACAGAUGGUGGGGUUCCCUGGACACCAUCCCCCAAGCACAAUGGGAAGACCACUCCCGACUCCAUUAAAGACUGGCCCCGGAGGAAGAGGGCGGUGGACUGCAGCAGUGGGCUCUCGGGCCGAGGCGAGGUGGGCACAGACCCUCUCGGGGCCUUGUCACUGCCUGAGCCCCAGGCCAGGGAGCUGGCCCUCGAACUUGGCCUCCACAAGACCCCAGUCUCAGAGGACUUUGAGCUCGAGGGAGUAUGUCAGCUCCCAGACCAGUCACCUCCUGGGGACAGUGUCCCCAAGGCUGAGGAAGCCUCAUGGGGACAGUUUGGGCUGGGUUCCAGGAAGAGACAUUGGUCUCCCAAGGAGGAAGCUGAGUGUGGAGCCAAAAGAGUUUGUGAAGCCCCGCGGGAAGAUGCAGAUGAGAGGAAGCAUGAAAAUGGGGGGCCAAGGCGGACUGUGCUGCAGCUCCCCUCCACUGGGGAUGACGAGGUGUUUGCUUCUGGUUGCACCCCGCCUCGUGGCUGUGCUGUGCGGAGCUGCCUCUCAGCCAGCGGGCUCCAGGCUCUCACCCAGUCUCCGCUGCUGCUCCCCGGGAAGGCAGCAUCCUCGCAGUGCUCGGACCCCACAGAUGAGAGUGCGGAUGGCUUUCCCUCCACUACAGAAGCGCCCACGUUCAGCCCAAUCUUCUCCCGGAGGCGCCCCUUCAGCAGGACUUACACACGGAAGAAGCUCAUUAGCUAGUUAGGCCCGGACCCGCUGGAGGACUGACCGUAAGCAGCACUGCUGGGCUGGGCAGAGGUGCUGUGAGGGUGGUAGCUGUCCCUCACUUGUACCACUCAGGCGUCCCAGCUGGGGACUCAGGACAGGGUUAACUGCAGCCAAAGGGGCCAAGAUCCUUCAGAAAAUGAAGCUGAAGUCAGCAUGGUCACCAUGGACCUCAAGGAAUUGGAGACCUGAUCCCAAGCCUCUUUCCCAGGGUCAGCUUGCAGUUCGCACUAGAGUGGCCCUCAGUCUUCCUGUUCCUCUCAGGGACUCCCACUGCCCAGCAGCACCUCUCUCUGUAACCUGCCUCAGGACCAUCCCUGCCCGGCUGGGGAAGGGGAGGUGGGUAGCAGUGUGGCUGCUGUUAUUACUCAGGUGACCCAGCAGUCGAGAAACUAAGCAAGGUUCUGGGUAAGAUGGGAUCCCAUUCCAGUGACACCCCAAACACAAGUCAGGAGGCCACGCCUUGCUUGUGAACAUGGAGACAGGAGCCCCUCUAUGGGUCUCCAUGAAGCUGCUGUAAGGCUGGGGUGCUGUGACACAAGUACUUUGUAAACUGUGAAGCCCUGUGCACAAACUGCCGUGGCAGGCAGUGGGAUAAAUGUUCACAUACCCUGCGUGGCGGUGAAAUCAUUUCUGGCUGCUUGGCCUUUGGUGCUUUUCUGUUAAUGUUCCCUCCUGACUGGUUCAGCUCUAGCAGUUCCCAAGAGCAGCCACAUUCCGAGGCCUGCCCUGAGACCAGCCAGCUUAUGCCACAGGCCACCCUCUUCCUAGGGAGACCAUCGCCUGGCACCACUAGGUGGCUUCAUCCUCGAACAGCAAGAUCUUACGGUCUCAAAGCACUCAAGCCUGUUGUGGUCCCAGAUUAGAUUCUUCCUACUGGCUUAUAAUCUGAUUCCAAAUGAAAACCCCCAGCUGCCUGCAGAGGUGAGCUCCCCUCUGCUGUGACAGAGACCUGGGUCAAAGGGCAGAAGGCUGGAUUUGUGCUCGUGGUUUCAGAGGCUGCACCCCACGCUCAGUGCAUUGUUUAGGGGCCUGUGCUGAGGCCUCACCAUGGGUGGCACCACAGAGUAAAACUGAGCAUCUCAUGGCCCAGGAAGUGGGGAGCAGGGUCCCUUAAAGCCCAUCCCCAGUGACCUAACAUUUCCAUAGGCCACACCACCUUCCCACAGAACCAUGACCUGAGGAUCAAGCCUCAACACGUGAGCAUCCAAGCAGCCAUUCAAGAUUCCUCUUGACCCCUAAGGCUCAUGUCCAUUGCCAGUGCAAGAUCUGUCCAUCCAUAACACUGCUCAAGUGUCCAGCUCCUAUCUUCUCCAAGACUUCAGGCAAACUCAGCUAACCUUCAGGCCCUGUGAAAAUUAACAGGCUGUGCAUGGUGAUGCAUGUCUGUACUUCCAGCACUUGGGGGAGGCUGAGGCAGAAGGAUCAUUGCAAGUUCAGAAAAGAAAAAAAAUUGCUGACACCAUGGGCCACCUGCCUACUUGGCUUUUUUUUUUUUUUUUUUUUUUUUUUUUGCUUUUUAAUAGCAUGAAUUUCUA
ensembl:lincRNA